rnacentral:rRNA from 1 species
AGUGAACGCUGGCGGUAGGCCUAACACAUGCAAGUCGAACGGCAGCACAGUAAGAGCUUGCUCUUACGGGUGGCGAGUGGCGGACGUGUGAGGAAUACAUCGGAAUCUACUUUUUCGUGGGGGAUAACGUAGGGAAACUUACGCUCAUACCGCAUACGACCUACGGGUGAAAGCAGGGGAUCUUCGGACCUUUCGCGAUUGAAUGAGCCGAUUUCGGAUUAGCUAGUUGGCGGGGUAAAGACCCACCAAGGCGACGAUCCGUAGCUGGUCUGAGUGGAUGAUCAGCCACACUGGAGCUGAGACACGGUCCAGACUCCUACGGGAGGCAGCAGUGGGGAAUAUUGGACAAUGGGCGCAAGCCUGAUCCAGCCAUACCGAGUGGGUGAAGAAGGCCUUCGGGUUGUAAAGCCCGUUUGUUGGGAAAGAAAAGCAGCAGGUUAAUACCCCGCUGUUCUGACGGUACCCAAAGAAUAAGCACCGGCUAACUUCGUG